AUGGGAGUAAUAGUAACUACAAGAUUUCAAGCUGUUGGUGUGGCAUGCUCAGAAAGAGGUGGAACUGAUUAUCUGCAUACUGUUAAUGUUCUAAGUGCUGCCAAUUCCAAAAGUCUAUUUCUUCAUGGCGUUUUCGGAUCCCCAAGAAGCAAAGAAAGGGAAAGAAGGGAUACAAGAUCUCAAGUUAUUUUUACCGAGUCCUCCGAAGGAGAUGGAACUGAUCAUUUGCAUUCAGCUGAUGUUCCUAGUGAUGCCGAUGCAAAAGAUCUUCUCAAUGAUCGUGUUUCUGAUCCACGAGGCAGCAAAGGUCAGGAGAAAGAAGAGGUCCUUGAGGAGAUUUGGAAAUAUUGUGGGGGCCUGCCUUUGGCCAUAGUCACCAUGGCUGGCCUUGUGGCUUGCAACCCAACAAAAAACAAUGAUCAUUGGAGUAAGGUUUGCAAGUCAUUAUUUCCAGAGCAGGUGGCUCCCCUUACAUUGGAAGGGGUCACAAGGAUACUUGAUUAUUGCUAUAAUGAUUUGCCAGCGGAUCUCAAGACCUGCUCAUUGUACUUGAGCAUAUUCCCCAAGGGCUCCAAUAUUAGUAAGAAGCGUCUGACCCGGCGAUGGAUAUCUGAAUGUUUCGUCGCUGAGAAGCAAGGGCUGAGUGCAGAGGAAGUCGCAGAAACAUAUUUCAAUCAGCUCGUAAGCAGGAAGAUAAUACGUCCUGUGGAUCACAGCAGCAAUGGGAAGGUCAAAUCCUUUAAAGUUCAUGACAUGAUUCUCGAAUAUAUCGUGUCCAAGUCAAGCGAAGAGAAUUUUAUUACUGUUGUUGGUGGCCAUUGGUUGAUGCCAACUCCUAGCAACAAAGUCCGCCGACUUUCCAUGCAAAGCAGUAGUUCCAAGCAAGAGAAUUCAACAAAAGGCAUGAACUUGUCUCAAGUGCGGUCACUGACGGUGUUCGGAAGCCAGACCCGACGACUCCCUUUCCACUCGUUUAAUAAUGGAAUAAUACAAGUGCUAGAUCUUGAGGGUUGGAAGGGAUUGACAAAUAAACAUCUAAAUGGCAUAUGCAAAAUGGUUGUGCUGAAGUAUUUGAGCCUCCGACGAACAGAGGUUUCUGAGAUUCCCUCAAAGAUUGAGAAGCUCCAGUAUUUGGAAACUCUUGACAUAAGGGAGACCAAUUUUCAGGUGCUGCCCAAAGCUUUUGGCCACCUCAAACGGCUCCGUAGCAUGCUUGGAGGGAGUAAAAACCCACGGAAGGCAUUGAAGUUGCCCGAUGAGAAAAAUAAGGAGCCGAUGAAAGCACUCCGUAUACUGUCAGGGAUUGAGAUCGAUGAGGAUUCAUCAGCUGUAGCAAGCCUUCAUCAGCUGACAGGGCUAAGGAAGCUUGCCAUUUACAAGCUCAAUAAACGAGAGGGCGGUCAGACCUUCACACAGUUACGCUCGGCCAUCGAGUACCUAUGUAGCUGUGGUCUGCAAACUCUUACAAUCAAUGAUGAGGGCUCUGAUUUUAUUAACUCCUUGGACACCAUGUCUGCUCCCCCAAGAUACAUCAUUGGCCUGGAGUUGUCUGGCAAGAUGGAAAAGCCCCCAAAGUGGAUUAAAGAUCUGAAUAAUCUCUACAAGCUAACCCUUUCUGUGACAGUUCUUCAGACUCGUACAUUUCAGCUCAUCCAGGACCUGCCAAAAUUGUUUACACUCACCUUUACACUCAGCGUAGCCAAGGAUGAUAGGGACAUAGUGGACAUUCUUGAGGAAAAUAAACAACUUACCGAUAGGGAGAUCAUUGUUCCGCCUGGAGGAUUCAAGAGUCUAAAGCUGCUUCGCUUCUUUGCAACUAUGGUGCCAAGGCUGAGCUUUGCAGUUACAGGAAAAGAGGUAAUGCCGGCACUGGAGAGGAUUGAUAUGCGGUUUGAAGUCUUUGAAGGGAUUUACGGCAUCGAGACUCUCAAAAGCCUCCAAGAGGUGCAUCUCAGUGUUGGUAAUCAAGCAGAUGAAAUAACCAAGUUCUUGGUAGAUGAUUUGAAGGACACACCCAAUUACUUGGAUCAAAAGUACGCCAGCAAGUGGCCAAAGAUAAUCACCGAGUGA
rnacentral:rRNA from 1 species